UACGUAGGGUGCAAGCGUUAAUCGGAAUUACUGGGCGUAAAGCGUGCGCAGGCGGUUUGUAAGUUUGUCGUGAAAGCCCCGGGCUCAACCUGGGAAUUGCGAUGAAGACUGCAAGGCUUGAAUCUGGCAGAGGGGGGUAGAAUUCCACGUGUAGCAGUGAAAUGCGUAGAGAUGUGGAGGAACACCGAUGGCGAAGGCAGCCCCCUGGGUCAAGAUUGACGCUCAUGCACGAAAGCGUGGGGAGCAAACAGG
rnacentral:rRNA from 1 species